CGCAGCCGCGGUAAUUCCAGCUCCAAUAGCGUAUAUUAAAGUUGCUGCAGUUAAAAAGCUCGUAGUUGAAUUUCGGGACCAAUAUGUCGGUCGUGCCUCGGUACGUACUGGCAUCGUUGGUUUCUCCUUUCUGAAGAACCAUGAUGUCAUUUAUUUGGUGUCGUGGGGAAUCAGGACUGUUACUUUGAAAAAAAUUAGAGUGUUUAAAGCAGGCUCACGCUUGAAUACAUUAGCAUGGAAUAAUGAAAUAGGACGUUUGAUUCUAUUUUGUUGGUUUCUAGGAUCGACGUAAUGAUUAAUAGGGAUAGUUGGGGGCAUUAGUAUUCAAUUGUCAGAGGUGAAAUUCUUGGAUUUUAUUGAAGACUAACUACUGCGAAAGCAUUUGCCAAGGAUGUUUUCAUUAAUCAAGUAACGAAAGUUAGGGGAUCGAAGACGAUCAGAUACCGUCGU
rnacentral:rRNA from 1 species